CACAACUCUUACCUCAAUUUCACACUCUAUCUAGUUUGUCUCUCUAUGUCACCACCGGUAAGACAGAGAAGAAACCGCAAAUUAGCCGCCAUUAAUAGACCAAAAUGAUAAAUUAAAGAAAAAGAAGAAUAUGCAUCCUCCUUUGACGUUGCAUAGACACCCCAUGUGUGCUGAAAUUAUUGAGGAGUUUCAGAAAUGUCAUAUUGACCAUCCUAUUGGGAAAUUCUUCGGCGAAUGUACAGAACUCAAAAUAAAGCUUGAUCGAUGUUUUCGACAGAAGUGAGUUAUAUUGAUUGUAUAACACUUUUCUGUUUCUU